rnacentral:rRNA from 1 species
UGAGGAAUUUUGCGCAAUGGGGGCAACCCUGACGCAGCAACGCCGCGUGAGUGAUGAAGGCCUUUGGGUCGUAAAACUCUGUCAGCAGGAAAGAAGUUAUAGAGGGUUAAUACCCCUUUAUAUGACGUACCGCAAAGAGC